rnacentral:rRNA from 1 species
UUUUAAAAAAAUUCUAAGAGAACGGAAGUCCAGAAAAAAACUUUUUUUAAAUUAAAAAUUGAAGUUUUUUUAAUUUGUGCAGAAACAAUUAUUUAUAUUAAAGACAAGAAGACCCUAUGAAUUUAUUAAAUUUUUAUUUAAUAUGUAAUUACUAUUAGAAAAAUUUUGGCUGGGGCGGCUAGAAAAUAUUAUAAACUUUUUAAAAAUAAAAUGAUCCAUUAUUAAUGAUUUUAUGUUAAAUACUCUAGGGAUAACAGCGUUAUAUUUUUUGAUAGAUCAUAUUGACAAAAAAGUUUGCGACCUCGAUGUUGGAUUAGGAUACUUUUUAAGAAGAUAUAAAAAAAAA